AUGUCAGCAGAAUGCUUUAUGGAAAUGCUGUGGCUUUCUGGUAGGAAACCAUGUGACCCCCUCGGCCAAGGUUUUGUUAUGGUGCAAGGAGGAAGAGAAAGAGAGAAUGCGAUGCCAGCAAAGGGUUAUGCUUUCUUUUUUUUGUCUUUCUUUCAUUCUUGUGUUUGCUUAGAAAAUGGCGGAUGGUGCGGUGCUGAAAUUAACCCGACUUGCCAAUGGAGAUGGGCACAAAAACAUAGCUUGACUUUUAUUUUAUCAGAAGCGGAUGCUUUUUGCAUGGCACCCACGUUUCAUCUAUUUUUGAUUCAAGCUCAAUCCUGCUUCCUGUCUGUCUGUCUCCGGCCGCGUACAAAAGAGAGGUCAGAACAAUCCAAACCAAAUAGAGAUGAUGAAUGCCAAAUGGUUAGUAGAGAUCUGGGGAUAGGAAGAGAGUGAGAUUACUCCAUACCCUGUAAGGCACACAAUCAACAAGGUACUGUGGAGUCCCCCCCG
rnacentral:lncRNA from 13 species